rnacentral:rRNA from 1 species
AUGCAUUCUCCGGUCGAGCUCGACGAGGUCGAGCUCCCACCACUCGCCGAUGAUGAUGGGCACGUCCCUGGCAGGAGUCGGGAACGGGUACCUGCCGCCCCUGGGGCGGAUGAUGAAGGCACCAGCAACGGUGGCGCGGAGGCAGGUGACGUGGGCGUGCCACCACAGUGUGCCGACCUGGUCGGUGACGUUGAAGCGGUACAUGUGUUCGCCGCCGGGAGGGAUGGGGCAUUCGGUGACGAAGCCGGCGCCAUCGGACCAGCAGCUCCGCAUCUGCCGGACGCCGUGCCAGUGGAUGGUGAGCCCGUGAGGAAGACGGUUGACGACGUGGACGACAACCGUGUCACCGUCGGUGAUGUCGAUGGUGGGGCCUGGGAGCUGCCCGUUCACCACGUAAAUCUUGGUCGUGUUACACAGGUGCGUCUGGUUCAUCUCGUGCACCUGAACAUCAUCAUUAAUCAAAUACGUAACUGA